CUCCUACUCGAAUAUUCUUAAUCAAAGCUUACAUGUUGCCUAUAUGUAAACAACUUUUGUAAUUUAAGUGAAAAAAAUAAUUCUAGGUAAGCCACUCUUUACCUCUACUUAGAAUUUUGACAUACACUAUACGCACUUUCGUAAUAUGGUUGUGCUUUUAAUCAAAAGAAAUUAGAAUUAUACAAUUUACUUGGUUCAAUUGUAUGUUUUAAAUUGUUAUUUAUGAAAAGUAGUGUUAAUUUUUUUAUUUGUUUCACUCAUGGUAUUCACAACUAUUAAUUGUAUAAAAAAAAUAUUUAAAUAUAGAAAGGGUAUUUAAAUUGAACAAGAAAAAUAACAAAUAUUUAUUCUAUUUAUACUAAUAUUUUAUAAAAAAAGGCAUUCAGAUAUAUGGUCGAGGUAAUCUUGAGAACUUCAGGAUAGAUAAUCAUAAAAGUAACAUUAAAAUAUGGGUUCUGGUAUAAGUGUCAUGGCCCACAGGCUAUUGAAAACACAUAUUCCAAAAUUCGGUUUUUAGGUAUUUUUGGUACUUAAAUAAAAUUAUUAUUGUCGAAUUAUGGAUUAGCUAAGUAACACAGAUGAAAAGAAAAAAGGUCUUAGGAUAAUGGGGGCAGGUGCAGCCACUGUUAUAGACAAUUCAAUGCAUAUUUGUAAGCAACGAAUAACCAUUGCUAAAGAAAAAACAAUUAUGAGCGGAGUUCAGUUGAUAGUGUCAACAAUAUAUAUGUCAUAUUAUGGUAAAAUGAUUACAACAAUGUGCGUUUCCAUGACAAUACUAAUG